rnacentral:rRNA from 1 species
GUUUGAUCCUGGCUCAGGAUAAACGCUGGCGGCGUGCUUCAGGCAUGCAAGUCGAACGGGCGGCAGUUUUCGGAUUGUCGCUAGUGGCGGACGGGUGAGUAACACGUGAGCAACCUGCCCUGUAGUGGGGAAUAACGGGCCGAAAGGCUCGCUAAUACCGCAUGUGAUGGCUCUUCUCUGGAGGGGUCAUGAAAGGCGAAAGUCGCUACGGGAGGGGCUUGCGGUCGAUUAGCUAGUUGGCGGGGUAAUGGCCCACCAAGGCUACGAUCGAUAGCUGGUCUGAGAGGACGGUCAGCCACACGGGGACUGAGAUACGGCCCCGACUCCUACGGGAGGCAGCAGCUAGGAAUCUUGGGAAUGGGCGAAAGCCUGACCCAGCAACGCCGCGUGGGCGAUGAAGGCCUUCGGGUCGUAAAGCCCUUUUGCAGGGGAAGAUGAUGACGGUACCCUGCGAAUAAGCCACGGCUAACUACGUGCCAGCAGCCGCGGUAAUACGUAGGUGGCAAGCGUUGUCCGGAUUUACUGGGCGUAAAGGGCGUGCAGGCGGUCUGUUAAGUGCAUGGUGAAAGCUCCCGGCUCAACUGGGAGAGGUCUGUGUAUACUGGCGGACUCGAGGGGGGUAGAGGAAAGUGGAAUUCCCGGUGUAGUGGUGAUAUGCGUAGAUAUCGGGAGGAACACCUGUGGCGAAGGCGGCUUUCUGGGCCCUACCUCACGCUGAGACGCGAAAGCGUGGGGUUUCGACCCCCUCCGUGCCGCAGCUAACGCAAUAAGUGUCCCGCCUGGGGAGUACGGCCGCGAGGCUAAAACUCAAAGGAAUUGACGGGGGCCCGCACAAGCAGCGGAGCGUGCGGUUUAAUUCGUCGCAACGCGAAGAACCUUACCAAGGCUUGACAUGCUAGUGGUACCAAAUCGAAAGAUGCGGGACCCUUCGGGGAGCUAGCACAGGUGCUGCAUGGCUGUCGUCAGCUCGUGCCGUGAGGUGUUGGGUUAAGUCCCGCAACGAGCGCAACCCCUGUUGCCAGUUGUAUUCUCUGGCGAGACUGCCCCGUAAAGCGGGGAGGAAGGCGGGGAUGACGUCAAGUCAGCACGGCCCUUACGUCUUGGGCCACUCGCACGCUACAAUGGUCGGUACAACAGGUUGCGAAGGAGCGAUCCGGAGCUAAUCCCCAAAGCCGGCCUCAGUUCAGAUUGCAGGCUGAAACCCGCCUGCAUGAAGGCGGAGUUGCUAGUAACCGCUGGUCAGCACACAGCGGUGAAUACGUUCCCGGGCCUUGUACACACCGCCCGUCGCGCUAUGGGAGCCGAUAACACCUGAAGUCGCUGAGCUAACCGCAAGGAGGCAGGCGCCGAGGGUGGGAUUGGUAACUGGAG